rnacentral:misc_RNA from 1 species
UUCUGUUUGUGGCCCUCAGCAAGUAACUCAAGAAAUUUGUCUUUAAUCUCAAGAAGUGGGUCUCGAUCUAUCAGCUCACCAUCCUUGUAUGCUUCCCUAAGCAUUGCAGUUUUAAUCCCACACUUCAACGAAGUAUAGAAUAUCCCCGAAUGCCGAGUAAAUACAUUUGAGAAUGCGUUUGAGAACCUAUACUCAUCACUAAACUUGCCUAAAAUGGGAAUGG